AGGAAAUCUGAUGUAAUAAUGUACUUAAUACAUUUAAGGACCACCCUAAUGUACAUACAUAACGUGCAAAUGAAUUCUUGUUCACAUAGUUGUGUACAUAUUUACAUACAUACAUACAUAUACAUAUAUGUGCUUAUGGCCUUUAAAAAUUUAUAGACUUGUAAAUUUAUUUAGAUUGUCUCUGGCACAUAAUCACACAACGUCACAACAGUGCACAAAUGCAAUUGACGUGAUGCACUGCCGCUCAAGAUGAGCUGCGAAAGCAAGCUGCUGCACUACUUCCAUAUAUAGAAUAUAGAAUAUCAACACUAACCACUAUCAAGCCUCCAGCUUGGGCAUAAUAAAAAUCGUCCAUUGAUUUAUUUACGAGCUCAGCGCCUGCGAAGUGUCCUUAGCAAAGGGACUUUGAA